rnacentral:tRNA from 1 species
UGGGGUUGUAGUUCAGUGGUAGAACGCUUGCCUCGCAUGCAUGAGGCCUCGGUUCAAUCCUCAGCACCACAA